AACGAACGCUGGCGGCAUGCCUAACACAUGCAAGUCGAACGAGACCUUCGGGUCUAGUGGCGCACGGGUGCGUAACGCGUGGGAACCUGCCCUUAGGUUCGGAAUAACUCCCCGAAAGGGGUGCUAAUACCGGAUAAUGUCUUCGGACCAAAGAUUUAUCGCCUUUGGAUGGGCCCGCGUUGGAUUAGCUAGUUGGUAGGGUAAAAGCCUACCAAGGCGACGAUCCAUAGCUGGUCUGAGAGGAUGAUCAGCCACACUGGGACUGAGACACGGCCCAGACUCCUACGGGAGGCAGCAGUGGGGAAUAUUGGACCAUGGGCGAAAGCCUGAUCCAGCCAUGCCGCGUGAGUGAUGAAGGCCUUAGGGUUGUAAAGGUCUUUUACCCGGGAUGAUAAUGACAGUACCGGGAGAAUAAGCUCCGGCUAACUCCGUG
rnacentral:rRNA from 1 species